rnacentral:tRNA from 1 species
AGCCCCGUAGUGUAGUGGCCAAGCAUGCGAGGCUUUGAACCUCGUGACCCAGGUUCGAAUCCUGGCGGGGCUA